GUCUUUUUGAGUUAAUUUUAAAGUCUAACCUGCCCAAUGAAAAAUAAAUUAAAUGGCCGCAGUAAUUUGACUGUGCAAAGGUAGCAUAAUAAUUAGUCUUUUAAUUGAAGGCUUGUAUGAAUGGUUGGACGAAGUAUAAUCUGUUUCAUUUAAAUUUAUUAUAUAAUUUUAUUUUUUAGUAAAAAAGCUAAAAUUUUUUUAAAAGACGAGAAGACCCUAUAAAUCUUUAUAGUUUAAAUUUUUUUUAUUUUUUAGAUUUUUUUUAUUUUAAUAAUUUGAAUUAUUUUAUUGGGGUGAUAUUAAAAUUUAAUUAACUUUUAAUUUAUUUUAACAUUAAUUUAUGAUUUAUUGAUCCAUUAAUAGUGAUUAUAAGAAUAAGUUACUUUAGGGAUAACAGCGUAAUUUUUUUGGAGAGUUCUUAUUGAUAAAAAAGUUUGCGACCUCGAUGUUGGAUUAAGAUAUAAUUUUAGGUGUAGUUGCUUAAAUAAUAAGUCUGUUCGACUUUUAAAUUCUU
rnacentral:rRNA from 1 species